rnacentral:rRNA from 1 species
UACGUAGGGGGCAAGCGUUGUCCGGAAUCAUUGGGCGUAAAGAGCGCGUAGGCGGUCCGGUAAGUCCGCUCUGAAAGUCCGGGGCUCAACCCCGGGAGGCGGGCGGAUACUGUCGGGCUAGAGUCCGGAAGAGGCGAGUGGAAUUCCUGGUGUAGCGGUGAAAUGCGUAGAUAUCGGGAGGAACACCUGUGGCGAAAGCGGCGCACUGGACCACAACUGACGCUGAGGCGCGAAAGCUAGGGGAGCAAACAGG